rnacentral:rRNA from 1 species
UACGAAGGAUGCUAGCGUUACUCGGAUUUAUUGGGCGUAAAGAAUGCGUAGGCGGACUUGUAAGUCUAUAGUGAAAUCCCAGGGCUUAACCCUGGAACUGCUAUCGAAACUGCAAGUCUUGAACAUAUCAUGGAGCAGGAGAAUUCUUGGUGUAGGGGUAAAAUCCGUAGAUAUCAAGAGGAAGAACGGAAGCGAAAGCGCUUGCUUGGGAUAUUGUUGACGCUGAGGCAUGAAAGCGUGGGGAGCAAACAGG